AAAUUGAAGAGUUUGAUCAUGGCUCAGAUUGAACGCUGGCGGCAGGCCUAACACAUGCAAGUCGAGCGGAAACGACAUUAUUGAAUCUUCGGAGGAUUUAAUGGGCGUCGAGCGGCGGACGGGUGAGUAAUGCCUAGGAAAUUGCCUUGAUGUGGGGGAUAACCAUUGGAAACGAUGGCUAAUACCGCAUAAUGCCUACGGGCCAAAGAGGGGGA
rnacentral:rRNA from 1 species